rnacentral:rRNA from 1 species
AUGAACGCUGGCGGCGUGCUUUACACAUGCAAGUCGAGCGAGGCCGGGUAGCAAUACCCGAGUCGAGCGGCGCACGGGUGAGUAACGCGUGGAUGAUCUGCCUUUGGGUGGGGGAUAACCUGGGGAAACUCGGGCUAAUACCGCAUAAAACCGCGAGGUCAAAGGGGGCCGCAAGGCUCUCGCCGAAAGAGGAGUCCGCGUCCGAUUAGCUAGUUGGCAGGGUAAUGGCCUACCAAGGCGACGAUCGGUAGCCGGCCUGAGAGGGUGAUCGGCCACACUGGAACUGAGACACGGUCCAGACUCCUACGGGAGGCAGCAGUGGGGAAUUUUGCGCAAUGGGCGAAAGCCUGACGCAGCAACGCCGCGUGGAGGAUGAAGGUCUUCGGAUUGUAAACUCCUGUCAGUGGGGAAAAAGGGGAACGGGCUCAUACCCCGUUUCAUUGAUUGUACCCGCAGAGGAAGCCCCGGCUAACUCUGU